rnacentral:rRNA from 1 species
AUUGAACGCUGGCGGCAGGCCUAACACAUGCAAGUCGAACGAGUGGCGGACGGGUGAGAAAUGUCUGGGAAACUGACUGAUGGAGGGGGAUAACUACUGGAAACGGUAGCUAAUACCGCAUACCAUCGGAUGUGCCCAGAUGGGAUUAGCUAGUAGGUGGGGUAACGGCUCACCUAGGCGACGAUCCCUAGCUGGUCUGAGAGGAUGACCAACCACACGGGAACUGAGACACGGUCCAGAAUCCGACGGGAGGCAGCAGGGGGGAAUAUAACACAAUAGGCGCAAGCCUGAUGCAGCCAUGCCGCGUGUAUGAAAAAGGCCUUCGGGUUGUAAAGUACUUUCAGCGGGGAGGCGUUACCCGCAGAAGAAGCACCGGCUAACUCCGUGCCAGCAGCCGCGGUAAUAC